rnacentral:lncRNA from 1 species
UCCCAAAGUGCUGGGAUUACAGGCAUAAGCUAUUGCACCCGGCCUGUCAUAGCCUACCUUAUUCCAAAUAUCCAAAACCUGGAACUGGGGGCAGCCUGCCACCAUGAAUAUCCUCUCAAUGUCAACACAUCCACUGCCAACAUCAGAGUGAAAAUGCCUCAUGAUUGGUCCAUCCUGUACAAUAGGUUUAUUUGUUUUGUUUCAAAUGCCAAGUAGAGAUAUUUAAGUACAGGGACAGAGCGUGGUGCAAUGAUCAGGACGGAGGUGCCUAACAAUCCCAAUAAAAUGCUGACAUGGGCUAAUCUCAAGCAGAUAUUCUGAUCCCCUCGCACAACCACGGCACUGGGGUGCCGAAACCAGAAGAGACAUGCACACGAGGCAGGGCGAGUGGUGUUUAUUACAGCUGUACAACUGUACAACGGGAGGGCAGCGACACGUGCUUAUUUGUAUUAAUGUUUAACAGACUAAGGGCCAACAUUUGCUUACUGGCUAAGUGAUUUUCAAUAGGAUGCACUGAAACAAAAGCCAAUUCCUUGAGUGAGAAGCGUCAUGGGUAGAAUCACGGAGCAAGGUCCUGCCCACCUGCACUGGUGGCCUCCCAGCAGCUCUCAUAGACCCUGGACCCAGCACAGUCCAGCUGGGGCCCAGGGACUGGCACAGCUGUUCCGCUCUGCUCCCGGCAUGUCACAGGGGAGGCACACACCAGACGAACCAAACCAGCAACAGAGCGGAGAGCCUGCAGGGACGCAGCUGGGGACUAAGCAGAUGGGAGACCGGCAGUCCUGGGGCUCGGGAGACAGGGGAGACAGAGAAGGAAGAGGGGUCCCAUCAGAGGACUCCCUGCAGUGCUCCAUGAAUUUCUCCCGAAUUCCAUCCUCUCCUCAACAACCUUGGGAAGGAGCAUAAAUUCAGCAACACACUGAUGCUGGCCCAGGCUGUGCGCUGUGAACCUACUCCCAUUCCAGUACAAGCAUCCCCUCUUUUUACCCCAACUGGGAAAUUCAAACAGAUGAAGCCUCAUCCAUUCAAAUCACUGAUAAAGGAUGAUCCUCAAACUCUCAGUCUAGAGCCUUCCUGAGAGUGCGCUGUAGGUAGCUACUGGCCACAUGUGGUUACUUAAAUUGAAAUUUAAUUUAAUUUAAUUUGAAAUCCAGUUCCUCGGCCACACCAUCCAUGUGUUGAUGUGGCUGCUGACAAGCUCAACAGUCAGGCAUGACCAGUGGCUGCCCCGAUGGGCAUUGCUGCUAUGGACCAUUUCCGCCAUCGCAGAAAGUCCUGGAGUGGAGGACCAAGGAGGCCUCUUCUUUAUAAAGCCCUCUUUGUAUCCCAGUGUCUUUUCCUCUUUUUCCAAAUGAGCAGGAAAAAAAAAAAAUUCCCAACUGAACUUGACUCUGCUCCACCCAUGUGGAUGAAGCCAGGCUGAGCUUCCCUGCAGAACAGGAAUGAAGACACAGAAGUGGAAAUAGCACACCUUUGUUUCCCGGAGAACCCCAGGAGCUGUAAAAACACCCGAACUCCCCUCUCCGGUUCUUACAGAAUUUUUCCGACUGCUCUUUCCUUCUUUAUCCUCUUCCAUAAUUGCACGCUGCGUGAUGGGAGGGAGAAGUGAAAGAGAAGGGAAAGAAGCUCGUUUUCCUCAUUCCGUACAUCGUGUCCACGCAGUGCCAGGAAGGGCUGCAGAGAGGAACGUCUUCGGGGUCCAUGUGGGACCCCUCCCUAGGGCAAGGGCCCUUAGCUCUGGGCUUCUCUUUUCCUGGGGCUGCCCGUCCAGAAGGACAAGCCCUGCCCCCUCCUCCGGGCUCCAAGAGCACUGCUCAUUCCUCCUGCUGCUGCUGCUCAGCCGGGUCCCUCAGCCCCGGCGGGGAGCAAGGCCUUCCUGCAGCAACCCCUCAGGCCAAGCAUAGCCAGCACCCCUCAUGCCCCUCAUGGAGCCAGCCGGGCACCACCCCCUUACUCAGCGGCAGAAGGCCCCUUCUGGAAGGGGGUAUCUCCCUCUUCCCAGCCUCUGGUUCUAAAGUCGGUCUCCCAUCCCAGCCACGACGAGGGGCGAUGGUGGGGCGUAUGCAGCGUGGGAACUGACCCUGCCGUGAACAUUCCUCCUGCCUGCUGAGUCCUCGAUCUGCUCUCAAAGUAACAGCUCCAGGGCGAGAGCAGCAGCCCACAGCCAGUGAUGCCAGGCGAGGCCAGUGAUGCCAGGCGAGGCUCCCACACUGGCCCACAUUUCUAAAUUCUGCUGGUGCUUUCUUUCUUUUUUUUUUUUUUUAUUUUUCUCUCUUGAAACAGGGUCUCCCCUCUGUCACCCAGGCUGGAGUGCAGCGGUAUGACAUGGCUCACUGCAGCCUCGACCUCCUAGCUCGAAGGAUCCUCCCACCUCAGCUUCCUGAACAGCUGGGACUACAGACGCAUACCACCAUGCCCAGCUAAUGUUUUUAAUCUUUUCUGUAGAGAGGAGGUGUUCCUAUGUUGUCCAGAUUGGUCUCAAACUUCUGGCCUCAAGCAAUCCUCCUGCCUCAGCCUCCCAAAGUGCUGGGAUUACAAGUGAGAGCCACUGUAGGCCUAUUUCUUUCUUUAUGAAAAAAAGUAAGAGUAAAUUGUGAUCAAAUACUACAAUGCUACUGCGGUGUGAUUCCUGAAUGGUAAAAACCUUACCAUGCUUUGUUUCUCCAUCAGAUGCCUUGCUCCUCACUACUGCCAAGGAGAUUACGCCUAAGACUGAUGGUACAAGUCUUUUCUUUAAAACAAACAAACAAAAAAACACAACAACAACAAAAAAAACAGGCAGGGGGUGGGGGAUUCAGAGUCCUUUACUGUGAGGUCAAGAAUAAUUCCUAGCCAUGGAAAAUAAUCUCUAAUGAUGCUAUAAACAGACAGCUCACCAAAUCAAUCAGAAAACAUUCUCAGUAUCAUUCUCAGUCUGUCAAGAACAGAAAACCUAACUCCUGCAGGCUUUACUGUGAAAUGCUUAGAACUCUGUCCUGAUUGGAGAACAUGGCCCCUUGUGAUGGACAGGCAGGCGGCGGCCAAAGCCCAGAACCCAGCAUUAGCCAAAGGAGGCAUCAAGCUGAAGUCUCGGGUGAGUUCAUUUCAAAGUCAAGGGCAAGGCCACCCUGGCAGCAAAUUCUUCUGGCUACUCAAAUUCGAAUAUUGCAGAACUAGCACUAGAGUUGCCAAGCUAUAAAACACGAGCAGAGAGAGGAGGCCCUUCCACAGGAAUCCAGAUUAGCAAAACCCCUUGCUCUCUUCAUCAAAACUCAGAUAAGUUAGCUGAAAACCUGGGGACGGAACAGCUUCCCCCAGGAAGGAGAAUCCACGUGGGGCCAUGACCAAGCACUCCAAACACUGCAGCGGGCGCUGCCCCUCUUCCAGCGACACAGUGGGAGCAGCCCAGCCAUCCAGUGACUUUUUGUGGACAUGGCCCAGCCCCUCAACCCUCGAGCCAGGACCCAGUCCAAGAGCACAGCACCCUCCACUCUCCCUGGGCCUGAGCAUGGCACCAAUGUGCUUCACGCAGAGCGUUUCGUGGGCGCACCCCUGCAGGAAGAACCAUCGCUGCUCAAGGCAGUCAUCUAAGAACUGCUCACUCUUGAGAAGGGCAGGUCAUCUUACUCCUCCCCAAAAGAGUCUCUCAAGUUAGGCUCUCACCCAUAGGAGGGACUUGCUGGGCGUGCGGGGAAUGGCAUUGUGGUGACAGCCCCAAGCAGGGGGCCACACAGGCUCAGGCCCGGAGCACCUUGGCAGGGAGAGGAAAGGUGUGGGCACUGCCUGGGCACUCUGCAUGCUGGGCUGGGCGUCACCCCUGCCACCUCGGGAGUCCUCAAACCCCCCCCGGGUGGGAGAGGUCAUCACCUCCGCGUACUGAACAGAAGCCCAGCUCAGGGUUCAGGGUGGGCCCCUGGAUUCAAAGUGGCAACAGAGCCUGACUCCAGCCUCAGGGCGUGAGGCACCUGGCCCUGGCCUGUUCCCAUCCCACACCCGGCUGCUCAGGCCUGGGGACAGGAGGGCACAGGGACAGGCCUGGAGGACAAGGUCCCUGGAAUCCCCGACAGCUUGACAAUGUGAAAUAAGUUUCGCUUCCUUUUUAUCUACGCUCCCGGAUUGACUUGUCCUCCUCUGAUGCCUGGUUCCUCUGCCAUCAAGACCCGCCGUCUGGUGUGAAGGGAAACGUCCCUCACCCUUCUGCAGUCGCCACCGAGCACUCGUGGUGUGGCCCACAGGGCAUCCUGCGAGAGCGUCACAAGCACCCCACGAACAAGACACGGCAGCGUGCUUCCUCGAUCUCCCCGCUCCUUUCUCGGGACAGCCUGUGGCUUGUUCUCCCUUAAGAAUCCUCUCAUCAAUGUUACGUUGUCAGCUUUCUCUGUUUUCUUUCUUUCUUUUU